UACGUAGGGGGCAAGCGUUAUCCGGAUUUACUGGGUGUAAAGGGAGCGUAGACGGAAUUGCAAGUCUGAUGUGAAAAUCCGGGGCCCAACCCCGGAACUGCAUUGGAAACUGUAUUUCUAGAGUGUCGGAGAGGCAAGUGGAACUACAUGUGUAGCGGUAAAAUGCGUAAAUAUAUGUAAGAACACCGGUGGCGAAGGCGGCUUGCUGGGCCUGUACUGACAUUGAGGCACGAAAGCGUGGGGAGCAAACAGG
rnacentral:rRNA from 1 species